UACGUAGGGUGCAAGCGUUAAUCGGAAUUACUGGGCGUAAAGCGUGCGCAGGCGGUUGUGUAAGACAGAUGUGAAAUCCCCGGGCUCAACCUGGGAACUGCAUUUGUGACUGCACAGCUGGAGUGCGGCAGAGGAGGAUGGAAUUCCGCGUGUAGCAGUGAAAUGCGUAGAUAUGCGGAGGAACACCGAUGGCGAAGGCAAUCCCCUGGGCCUGCACUGACGCUCAUGCACGAAAGCGUGGGGAGCAAACAGG
rnacentral:rRNA from 1 species